rfam:Clostridium autoethanogenum DSM 10061, complete genome.
AUUUAAAUACAUCUCAUGUUGAGGUUCAAC